rnacentral:tRNA from 1 species
GCGCAUGUGGCGGAACGGUAGACGCGCCAGGUUCAGGACCUGGUGUCCGCAUGGGCGUGUGAGUUCGAAUCUCACCUUGCGCACCA